rnacentral:rRNA from 1 species
UACGUAGGCAGCGAGCGUUGUUCGGAGUUACUGGGCGUAAAGGGUGCGCAGGCGGUGGAGCAAGUCUGUUGUGAAAUCUCCCGGCUUAACCGGGAGGGUGCGGCGGAAACUGUUCUGCUGGAGUGAGGAGAGGCAAGCGGAAUUCCUGGUGUAGCGGUGAAAUGCGUAGAUAUCAGGAGGAACACCCGUGGUGCAGACGGCUUGCUGGACCUCCACUGACGCUGGAGCACGAAAGCGUGGGAGCAAACAGG